rnacentral:lncRNA from 1 species
GCCCCACAGUGUACAGCUGCCCCACAGUAAGUAUGCAGCAGCUGGAGGUUCAGGUGGGGAGGAUGGAGGGUAGGGAAAUAAGUGAGAGGUGAGGCCACAAGAGAAAGUUGAUGUGUCUUGUUUCUCUUCCCCCUUCUCUUCUUUUCUUUUGCCCCCCUGUGUUAGGGGCUAACAUGGAAGAAGAGAAGGAUCAAAAUGACCUCUGUGGUUUAGUGCAUGACCUUAUAAACAAGGAGACAGAAAACCAACACCUACUCCAGAAGAGGCUGUUGAGAUUACUGCUGGAAUAAGCCCAGGAUAAAAUCUUUAUGUCCUUUCAGACAAAGCGUGGAUUAAAUAGUUUAUCUGACUCAUAUGACUGCAGUUUCUUUCGGCCUCAUCCAGAAACUGAUACAAAGUUGUUUUUUUCUUCUUCCUUUUUCUGGUGCUUCUAUAAUCUUAGCUUAUGCUCAGCUGUGAAAAAAGUAAAUGUCCAGGCAGGCACUCUCUGCAACAUAGAAUUAAACAUGCUUCCUGAACAUUGUUUGCACUUUCAUUUGACAGAGAGCAGAAAUACAGGUUUAUGUAUCCAUAAAUCCUGUCAUGGUUGACAAAGUAAUUUAAUAGUGUUUUGACUCAGAACCAUCCGUUAAUACGAUUUGAGAGACAGAGUAGAGUGCUCGUGUGUGUGUGCACGUGCGUGUGUGCAUGUGUGUGUAGGACUGGAUGGGGUGGGUGCAGGGCAGGAAGCAUGUGACAGAACACCACCACGCUGCAGUUUCACACCCUCCCUGCAGCAAUAGGUUUUAACUGAAAAGCUACUACUCAUGCUUUGCAAAUUGAUAGUCCCACUGAAAAAAAAAAAAUUAAAUUCUUCCGAAAAACACUCUGAGGUUUUCGUGAGCAGAAUUGGUUGUAGAAGGGGAAAUAGAUCAUAUAGCUUAGGCCAUUUGAAAGGACUUGUCAGUUGACUAUUGCUGGAAUGGAACCAGUGUCUAGACUUGUUCUUUGUGAUGCCUUUAAAAAAAAAAAAAUCAGUGCCUUUUAACCAUUCUUACUUAAUCAUUCAUGGCUGCUGUGCCCACAAUGGGCUUCAUGGGGCCUCAUGUGGUCUUUCAUCAAAGGCACAGUGUUUUAAAGUCUUAGACCAUUGGGGAUUCUGAUUCCCCUUAUUACGUGGUGAAUGGUAAUGGUUCAUAGUCAAUAGUUAGGAAGUUGGUGAAUAACUGAGAUUAGACAUUUACUGUCAAACAGUGGUAAGUUUUUUACAUUUGUUUUUCAUUCAGGUACUUUGUUGUUAAGUGAGUUUAAACCUAUCCCAGCACACCCUACUUAUUUUAACUUUUGCACUGUUAGUUGACAUAUUGUCAUAAUAUGUACUGAAAACAUUUCUGCGUAUAAAACAUCAACACUGAAUUGUACCUUUUAUAUGUACUGUUUCAUGUGACUAUACAGGACCUUGCAAACAUCAAAAAUUAUAUUGUAUGUGAUCUCAGGAUAUAUAAUGGUAACAAAAUCAGUGAAUCCAGCAUUGUUACUGCUUCUCUCAUUAUUUGCAUAUUCUUAUCAAGUGAGUGUUUACAAUUAUACAUGUGGACAACAACCACUCAUUGUUUUCAUUUUUAUUUAAGCCGGGUCUUAAGAACUGGAAUCCUUGGUUUCAUAAUUAAAAGAGGCCCUCUUUGUAGAGAUCAAAACAAAAUUUCCAGAAUGUUUUAAGUAGCUCAGUUAAUGCAGAUUGAGCCUCUACAAAUUUUAUAUGCUUUAGAAAAAUAUCUUUAUGAUGCCAAUUAUGCAGAUUACCUCACUGGUAUAAUCAAAAUGACCAACUGGAAAGAAACAAUAAGUUUUCUAAUUAUUCAUAUUAAUCUUUAAAGAACUGCUAUUUUAAAAUACUUCUUCCCAUUGGGUUUUAUAAGUUUCAGUGAUGUCUUAGGAUUUAGUGGGUUUUUUUAGCUUGUUUUUGCUUUAGUUGAUGAAAGAUAAGGUAAUAUCAUUUGCUUAUGAAAGAGCAAUUUACCUAAAGGUAAAUUUAAAAAAAUCAAAUAUAUAAAUAUGUGUGCAUAUAUUCACUUAUAUGUACACAUAUAUACACACGUAUUCAAUAUGUUAUAUAUAUAUCUCCUAUCUACACGAUAUAUUAGGCUCUCAUUUAUUAAAUGAACUGGGGUGCCAGCACAUCUCUAACAUGAUCUUCCAGUGUUUAUCCUGGAGUAUUAUUUCUUCAUCUUCUAUCUCAAGGAAGCGUACGUACAUCCUUUCUUUACCCAAACAUGCUGCCUGAUAUACCUACCCUCCCCAACCUGACGUUCUGAUGUUACUGUCAUAUCUGAAAUUUUGCAUUCUGAGAAAUUUAUGUCCCCAAACUGCAUUUAGGCAACUACUCUUAUAGGUGAAAACAUCUGAUUAGGUGGUAGUGGUUGAUGGAUUAUAGUCACAAGAUAAUACUUCUUUAAAAUUUGAAGACUUCUGCAUCUUAAAAAUAUCACUGUUCUGUGAAGUUGUCUGGAGUUUUACCAAUAUGAGCUGACAUAUAUUGCUUCCCA